GAGCUAGAAAAUUUGGAGGAGUUGCCCCUACAGCUCAACCAAUUAUCCCGACUUAAGAAACUGACGAUUCAUGAUUGUCGGUCUCUCUGCCCCUCGCACAUGAGUAGACUGCCUGCCUCACUUAAAUCACUGGAGUACAUGGGUUGCAAAUUGGAAUUGGAGGGUGGUGGGGCCUUGGAGUACUUGGUAUUAGGCGGUUGUGACCUCAAAGUCAAAGCCGAGUGGCUUGCCUCGUUCCCUAUGCUAAAACGUCUUGAAAUUAGGUACUGCAGGAGUGUUGAGAAUCAGAGUGGUAUAACUACUACUACUACUACUAGUGUGAUGACGUCACUUCAAUCCUUAGACGUCUACGGCUACGAUGAUCUAUUAAUGUCUUUUUCAGAGGGAGGAUUGGCAGCCCCCAAUCUAACGACGAUUAGCAUUAGGGAUGGCAACGGGGCGGGGUUGGGGCGGGGGACCCCUCCCCCGUCCCCCGCCCCGUUGCCUAUUAGUUCCCCCCGU
rnacentral:lncRNA from 1 species